rnacentral:rRNA from 1 species
AGCGAACGCUGGCGGCAGGCUUAACACAUGCAAGUCGAGCGGGCAUCCUUGUGGUGUCAGCGGCAGACGGGUGAGUAACGCGUGGGAACGUGCCCUUCGGUUCGGAAUAACUCAGGGAAACUUGAGCUAAUACCGGAUACGUGCGAGAGCAGAAAGGUUUAUCUGCCGAAGGAUCGGCCCGCGUCUGAUUAGCUAGUUGGUGUGGUUACGGCUCACCAAGGCGACGAUCAGUAGCUGGUCUGAGAGGAUGAUCAGCCACACCGAGACUGAGACACGGCCCGGAAUCUUACGGGAGGCGGCAGAGGGGAAUAUUGGAAAAUGGGGGCAAUCAUGAUCCACCUAUGCCGGGUAAGUGAUGUUGGCCUUAAGGUUGUAAAGCUCUUUUAUCCGGGACGAUAAUGACGGUACCGGAGGAAUAAGCCCCGGCUAACUUCGUG